CAACUCACAGUCACGACUUCCUAUCUGAUUACCUGGCACUUGUCCAGUCUUUCUGCAGUCAACAUCGCCCAGAUUCCAUGCAGAACCCUUUGCAGACUCCUGAGGAGGUACAGACAAGGAGUGUCCCUGUCCUCAUGGUGCUACAUGAAAAGGGAUCAGGACAGCAUAGUGUGUCCUCUGUCUUGAGAAGUUCGCAUCCAGCUCUGCCAUGGACCAGCCAUGCUCAUGGAUUGCCUCUCAUUUUGCUACGGACAGGAGACAGGAAAAUACUGGGUAGAAGAGGGCGGUUCCCGACAAAGGCCCCAACCUCAAGCCUGAAGACCCACGACCCUAAAUGAGGACAGCCAUUUCUGAUUUUGUGCCCAAAAAUUUGCCUUUUGGCCUGCCACACCCAACAUCUUGCCCCUAUAUAAACCCGAGACCUUAGCGGGCACACACACAAUCAGCCAAAUGUUGGGAUUAGCAGACCAGUGGACCAGCGGACCAGCAGACCAGUUAACGGUGGAACAACGCAGCAGAGAAAGAGAGAAGAGGAGGGAUGUCUGAAUGCCAAGGGGAAUUCGGCCGCGGGCAGUUAGAAAAGUCUGGCUGCUGGGCGGCCCGACUCUAGGGGAAGACCACCUUCCCACUCCAUCCCCUGUUCUGGCUCCCCAUCCAUCUCCCUGAGAGCCACCUCUACCACUCAAUAAAACCUUUCAUUCAUCCUUUGAGCCCAUAUGUGAUUUGAUUCUUUCAGGACGCUCAGCAAGAGCUCAGAAUAUAG
rnacentral:lncRNA from 10 species